CGCUUGCUCAUUUGCAAGGUGGUAGUCGUUGGUGGUACAAUUGUUGUAAAGUUUUUAAAUUUUUUUUGCGUUCUUAAAUAAUGGUGUUGUUUUUGACGACUUUGCUUCAGUUUCCACAAUCCCGAAGGGACAAUCUACCCGUACUGUUCUGGUUGGUGAUGAUGAUAGAAGUUUACAACGAUAUAUAGAAACAAGAAAACCGAAUAACACCUUACAUGGAACCUCUGGGAUACAAAAUCUACAAGAAAAAAUUUUACUAUCGCUUAGGAUCUUGCGCUUGAAUCAGUGAGGGUUUUUUUGCUCUACUCGCCAACUACUCGCCAACAAAUAUUUUCUUGAUUAUUCUACAAUUUGUUUAAGAAAUAAAAGGAUCUGUAUCGAAGUUAUUGGAAGAAAGACAGUACUUUUACAACAAGUUAACAACAAGGACUUCCAAGAAUUGUGACUUGAUCACUAGAUUUGAUUCAAAACUUGUCUCAAAUAGAAUAACUUCAUUUCCCUACAUUUGGAACUUCCAGCUUGGUUAUUCGGGUAUUGACGAUAUUGUCAGUAAUGUUGUGAUCAAACCAGCAGAUCAGACCAGCAGAAUCAUUUUUCAUUACUGCUUAUGUUUGCAAGGAAACAGCUCAACUUCUUGGAAAUUACAACGAUCUUCGAGGGAUAACUUCAAAUUUAUCAAAUUUUAUAAUGAUGUAUUGAAAUUUCAAAAUUACCAAAUAUGUACCUAUCCAAUGAUGCUAUCUAUGUUUUUAAUGAGAUACUAUUAGUAUUUUGUCCAAAAAUAGCUAUUUGUAAAUUUGUUAUAAUUUUCUAUUCACAUUGAAAACAUAGUCACUUCUAAAAAGAAAUGUUAGUUUUAAGUAGACACGAAUGUGAAGCAGAUUUAUUGUUGUAAUAUGUUGUUUUACCACCACAGCAAUACAUCAGUAAAUCUGUUUAUAACCAGUUGUGCAGAAUUUUUAACAGUUUGAAAAAAAAAACAAAAGAAAGAAAAAACAAGACAAAAAAAGAAAAACCAAACAAAAAAAGAAAAAAAAACAAAAAAUAUUAACGAAAAAAUGACAAAAAGCAAUAAGAUAUAGCAUAAAUAAAAUAAAAACAAAAAAUAAAUAAUAAUUAUUAAAAAUAUAAAACAAAAAAUGUCGAAAUAAUCAAAUUAAGGGUGCUAGAGUUAAAAAAUAUGUAACACAGCAUUUACAAACAUUUUAUAAUUUUUUUCGUAGUUUUUUUUUGUUACGUUUUUUGAUUAGGUUUACUAAAAUUAAUUCAUAGUAAACUGGCGUUCUGUUUUCCAAAUUUCAAACAAUACGUUAAUUGUCUUCGAUAGGUAAUGUAAUAUCGAUCCUUGUACUUGUGAGCAUAACUUAAACGCUUUAUUGUCUGUAAAAAUAAUUGUUCCUGGUAUUAGUUUUAAUGGCUUACAUAUUGUCUAUGUUUUUAAUGAGUAAUCAAUUUUAUAUUAACUUUAUUUUGUUCAAAAGUUCGUUGCUGUUUGCACAAAUUUGCCCUUAUUUUCUGUUCACAUUGAGAACAUAUUCAAUUAAAAAUUUUAAAAAAUAGUUUUAGGACACGAAUGUGAAGCAGAUUUAUUGUUGUAAUUUCGGUUGUUUUACCCCCACAGCAAUAUAUCAGUAAAUCUGCUUUUACCUGUGUAAAAUUUUUAGUCGUUUGAAAAAAAAAGUCAAGAAAAAAAGUACAAAACAAAGAAGCACAAAAAUAACAAAAAAAACAGAAUAAAAAGAAUGAAACAAAAAUGCAGAAACGACUAUAAAAAAAUACAAAUAAUAGCUUUUACAGUUAAAAAUGUAAGGCAGCUUUUGCUAACACUUGAUAAUUUUUGCCGCACAUUUUUACUAAAUUGGAAAAUCAUUUAAGACAAAGCAUUUUUUCUUUGGUUUGUAAAAGCUGCUUUUGUCUCGCUACAGUUGGAGUAACGAUGCAAAUUGUUUAAACAAGUGGAAGGUGUAAUGAAAUUGGGAAAACAUUAUCGAUAUUGUUUUUGAUUUUGCAUUCAAUGUACAAAAUUCACAAUAAAUUGACAUAGUGUUUUCCAAAUUUCAAAUAAUAAAUCUGUCUGAUUUUCUUGUAUCAGUAAUAUAAUACUGAUUAUUGUGCCAAUGAGCAUAUUUUGUGAAUGCUUUAUUUUCUGUGAUUUUAAAAAUAAUUGCCCCCGGUCUUAAAAAAAAACGUCAAAUUGUCAAAUUUUUGGAAAUCGUAUUUGGUCUAAAAAUCGUUGACAAUAAGUAUAAGUAAGUGACUAAACUUUACAUUACAUUUUAUUGUAACUUUGUUUGUUGUAUGUACUAGUGUGUGGAUAAUUGUUAACGAAAUACGGAAACCUUUCAUUAAUUUUUCAAAAUUUUAACUCCACUAUUUACGUUUUUGUUAUUUUAUAAGUUGGAAACUGAUUACAAUCAUUUACAAUUUUCGUAUUUCAGUUCGAUGAUUUAUUAUUUUGGGAGAUAUUGUUGUAAAUUUAUAUCAAACAUAUUUAUUACAUUAUUAGUUUAGUUUUAGUAAAUAGAAACAUUGAGCUUCAAAAAAGACCGGGGAAUAUGAAUUGUCUGAUUUUUGGAAAUUUGGCUGGACUAAAAAUCAAAUGACAAAUUCAUAAGAAUAAGUUGUAUUAAAUAUUUUGUUAUACUAGAUUUGUAAGAUACAUAAUUUGUACUACAUGCAUAAAGAUCAACGAAAUAUAAAAAACAAUAAUAUUUUAAAUUUAAUAAGUUCAUUUGAGUUUUACUAAAAUAUUAUCAGAUUUUUGGAAAUUUUUGACGUUUUUUUCUUUUUCGUUGACAAAAAUCCUGUUUAGUUAUUGGAUCUAU